rnacentral:rRNA from 1 species
UACGUAAGGGGGCUAGCGUUGUCCGGAUUUAUUGGGCGUAAAGAGCUCGUAGGCGGUUUGUCGCGUCUGCUGUGAAAUCCCCGGGCUUAACCUGGGAAUGGCAUUUGGGACUGCAAGGCUGGAGUGUGGCAGAGGAGACUGGAAUUCCUGGUGUAGCGGUGAAAUGCGUAGAGAUGCGGAGGAACACCGAUGGCGAAGGCAGCCCCCCUGGGCUAGCACUGACGCUCAGGCACGAAAGCGUGGGGAGCAAACGGG